rnacentral:rRNA from 1 species
GGGAGCGUUCUGUAAGCCUGUGAAGGUGUGUCGUGAGGCAUGCUGGAGGUAUCAGAAGUGCGAAUGCUGACAUAAGUAACGAUAAAGCGGGUGAAAAGCCCGCUCGCCGGAAGACCAAGGGUUCCUGUCCAACGUUAAUCGGGGCAGGGUGAGUCGACCCCUAAGGCGAGGCCGAAAGGCGUAGUCGAUGGGAAACGGGUUAAUAUUCCCGUACUUGGUGUUACUGCGAAGGGGGGACGGAGAAGGCUAUGUUGGCCGGGCGACGGUUGUCCCGGUUUAAGCGUGUAGGUGUGUGUUCCAGGUAAAUCCGGUUCACUUUAACACUGAGGCGUGACGACGAGGCACUACGGUGCUGAAGCAACAAAUGCCCUGCUUCCAGGAAAAGCCUCUAAGCAUCAGGUAACAUCAAAUCGUACCCCAAACCGACACAGGUGGUCAGGUAGAGAAUACCAAGGCGCUUGAGAGAACUCGGGUGAAGGAACUAGGCAAAAUGGUGCCGUAACUUCGGGAGAAGGCACGCUGACACGUAGGUGAAGUGAUUUACUCAUGGAGCUGAAGUCAGUCGAAGAUACCAGCUGGCUGCAACUGUUUAUUAAAAACACAGCACUGUGCAAACACGAAAGUGGACGUAUACGGUGUGACGCCUGCCCGGUGCCGGAAGGUUAAUUGAUGGGGUCAGCGCAAGCGAAGCUCCUGAUCGAAGCCCCGGUAAACGGCGGCCGUAACUAUAACGGUCCUAAGGUAGCGAAAUUCCUUGUCGGGUAAGUUCCGACCUGCACGAAUGGCGUAAUGAUGGCCAGGCUGUCUCCACCCGAGACUCAGUGAAAUUGAACUCGCUGUGAAGAUGCAGUGUACCCGCGGCAAGACGGAAAGACCCCGUGAACCUUUACUAUAGCUUGACACUGAACAUUGAGCCUUGAUGUGUAGGAUAGGUGGGAGGCUUUGAAGUGUGGACGCCAGUCUGCAUGGAGCCGACCUUGAAAUACCACCCUUUAAUGUUUGAUGUUCUAACGUGGACCCGUGAUCCGGGUUGCGGACAGUGUCUGGUGGGUAGUUUGACUGGGGCGGUCUCCUCCUAAAGAGUAACGGAGGAGCACGAAGGUUGGCUAAUCCUGGUCGGACAUCAGGAGGUUAGUGCAAUGGCAUAAGCCAGCUUGACUGCGAGCGUGACGGCGCGAGCAGGUGCGAAAGCAGGUCAUAGUGAUCCGGUGGUUCUGAAUGGAAGGGCCAUCGCUCAACGGAUAAAAGGUACUCCGGGGAUAACAGGCUGAUACCGCCCAAGAGUUCAUAUCGACGGCGGUGUUUGGCACCUCGAUGUCGGCUCAUCACAUCCUGGGGCUGAAGUAGGUCCCAAGGGUAUGGCUGUUCGCCAUUUAAAGUGGUACGCGAGCUGGGUUUAGAACGUCGUGAGACAGUUCGGUCCCUAUCUGCCGUGGGCGCUGGAGAACUGAGGGGGGCUGCUCCUAGUACGAGAGGACCGGAGUGGACGCAUCACUGGUGUUCGGGUUGUCAUGCCAAUGGCACUGCCCGGUAGCUAAAUGCGGAAGAGAUAAGUGCUGAAAGCAUCUAAGCACGAAACUUGCCCCGAG